GACGAACGCUGGCGGCGUGCUUAAUACAUGCAAGUCGAGCGAGGCCCAUCCAGUGGCAACACUGGGGAAGGCCGAGCGGCGAACGGGUGAGUAACACGUGAGCAACCUGCCCCGAAGUCUGGAAUAACAUCGGGAAACCGGUGCUAAUACCGGAUUGCCCCACCUGACCGCAUGAUCGGGUGAGGAAAGAUCUAUCGCUUCGGGGAGGGGCUCGCGGCCUAUCAGCAGUUGGCGGGGUGACGGCCCACCAAGGCGUUCGACGGGUAGCUGGUCUGAGAGGACGACCAGCCACACUGGGACUGAGACACGGCCCAGACUCCUACGGGAGGCAGCAGUAGGGAAUCUUGCGCAAUGGGCGAAAGCCUGACGCAGCAACGCCGCGGUGGGGGGAGU
rnacentral:rRNA from 1 species